CCUACGGGAGGCAGCAGUGGGGAAUCUUGGACAAUGGGGGAAACCCUGAUCCCAGCCAUGCCGCGUGAUCGAUGAAGGCCUUAGGGUUGUAAAGAUCUUUCAGCGAGGAAGAUAAUGACGGUACUCGCAGAAGAAGCCCCGGCUAACUCCGUGCCAGCAGCCGCGGUAAU
rnacentral:rRNA from 1 species